rnacentral:sRNA from 1 species
UUGACAGCAAUAGCAAUUAAUUUUUUCUGUCCAGAGAACAAGUGUAAACCACAGGUAGCAGCAGUGCACGCUUUUCCAUCAUGCCCUGCUAAUGGGCCUCAGAUCUGACCAGAAAGAGACCAUCUUUCUUCAUGGUACUCGAUCUGUAAUUUGAAAGCUUGGUCUCG